GGUAAGAAUAGCAGCGUACACAAGGCGGCCACGUGUAUACACUUGUAUACAGAUAUAAAGAUGGUAUUUGAUUACUUUCGCUUCAUUUUUAAAUGCAGGGAAAUUAUCAGGCAUUAUUUCAAUGAAGAUAAUGCUACUUUGAAGGGACCUUAUUUUGUCGGGAUGCCGUGGAAGGGAACAUUUGAAAAUGGAAACACUGGGAGAAAUUUGUAGAAAUUAAGUGUUACAUAUGA